UCUUCUGCCUCCUUUCAGCCUCCUGCUCUCUCUUCUGCCUCCUUUCAGCAUCCUACUCUCUCCCUUGCAUCCUUUCAGCCUCCUGCUCUCUCCCUUCCCUCCUUUCAGCCUCCUGCUCUCUCUUCUGCCUCCUUUCAGCCUCCUGCUCGCCCUUCUUCCUCAGCUCAGCCUUCUCCCCACCUCUGUCUAUCAUCCAUCUCCCUUUUUGCAGCCAGGAGCAGGUGCCACAAGACCCCAACAAGCUAUUAAGCUUAAAAUGAAAGAAUGCAGAAAACACCGUCUACAAAAAAUAUUCCUUUACAAACGCAUCGUUGACAAAAGACUUGUUAAUGGAAAAGAAGAGGUAAAAGUAAAGUGGACACCUUGCUCAACAUGUGGCAAAGUGUGGGAUGACACCUGGGAGCCAGCCAAAGACUAUCAAUAGAGGCGGUGUUCAUGGUCUCAGUCCAGCUCAUCAGCACAGACGCACAUACAAUGUUAUAGUGUCCUGGAUGUAAUUUUUGAUUUGUAAUGUAAUAUAUUAAGAAAUAAAUAGACUGUUCUAUAAUUUUAAUUUAUUCAGUGAUCUCUUAACCCUCCUAUCACCAAGCCAUUUCCGAGUAUUGUUUGUGCCUGUCACAUUGUUGCUUACUGUGGGCUCAUUUUUCACUCUAUCUGCACAUUUUGCCCCUCACAUUUACAAGCACAACCAUGUCUAGAAGUAGGAAGAGCUCCUAAAUGUCUUUUGAGCAGUGUACCAAAGUUAUAAUAGCGUACACCAUUAAAAAAGUAAACACUUAAGUUACAUUUCUUUCAUAAUAUAUUAAAAACAAAAACGGUAGAUUAAUGCAAUACAACAUUCAUGGAAAUAAACUUAAUAUGUAUCAUGCUGUUACAUUUAUUGAUUACACUGCACUGUAAAAAUACAACUGACAUUUCAAUUCACCCUUAUUAAAAAGCCUAUCUGAUGUA